CGGAGGGUAGGUUGUUUACCCGGAGAAGUACCGUGGGGGUGGAGACAGAUGGAUUCUGUGAACUGUAAUUGCUCUGCCCGUGUCUGGGUGAAUAAAGCCAAGGUGGCCAGUGGCUUGCGGCUCUAUAUCGAAGGGAGACGUGAGCUCUCGGGCCUCCCAGAUUUUAAACCUGUUUGUGUGUGGCUAUUUGUUCAUCCUCCACACCCCUCGGUUAGAUUUGAGCUCGGAGGCUGGUCCUACAUGAGUCUAGGGUCUAGUUACAUGAUUUCAGCCUACUGUAAAACCACAUUCUAUCUUUCCUAAAAUCAGGGGAGGGUAUAUUAAAGCCUUGUUUAAAGUGACCUCUAGUUGAUAAUUUUUGUAAGUGUUUUUCUUUGCAUUAUUUUAAAUAUUGGAAACGUCAGUAAAUUCAUGUUUUUAACGACAGCAGCCACCACACCAUGGUUUUGUGGCCAAGUGUUUAUUGACAGUUUGUCAGGCCUCACUCUGGGUUUCCCUCCCUCCCUCCCUAGCUUGCCAACCAACUGUAACUUGAUCAGUUUGAGAUGGGACUGCCCAGGGUCAUAUGUUAAAUAAGACACGUCCACUUUUCUGAUUACAAAAUCCUCCCUUGCCUGGCCACUUAAAAACUUAGAUAAUCUACAAACACAUAGAUCUAAGGAUUUCUGCUACAUACCUUAGAGGUCACACCUGCAAAUUUGCCUAUUAGCACAAUAUUUCUUUAAUUACAGAUUUUUUUGUUUGUAACUAUAGGCUGUCAGAGCACUUAAAAUUUAUUCUUUAAAACAUGUUCUAUCUUCACAUUAUAGUGAAUUGACUUUUACAGAGAAAACUUUGUCGUUCUACCAUGUUUAUAACUUUUAAUUUUUGCAUUUGAAAAAUGCUUUAGCUGAGGUUACAUUCAGUUACAAGCAAAACUGAAGCCAGGUAGUACACAUAAUGCAUUUAAACAUUUUCCCAAAAACCAAAAGACAUUUAAGAAUAUCUUUGGGUUACAGGCAUGCAGCAUCAGGGGACAACACUGGAUGAUUCAUCCAAUGAAAAUUUGAAUGCUGGUGAAAAAUCUAGGUGAGAUGAAGAAAAGCGAGAUCAGGGAACUUGCAAAAGAAAUGCUGUCAGAAAAUGAAAAAGAAGCUCACUGAAUGCAGGAAACAUACCAGGUUUGAACUCUAAUAUUUAAGGCCUGCUAGAGGCUGGUGACAUAUGACACCAGGACUGGGAAAAAAGCGAGGGUGAAAAGUUUCUAAGCUGAUGAUUAAAUAGAUGUAACUCACUGACGAGUGUGCCCAUGUGGGAUUUUAAUUACUCAGACAUCUGUUUAGCGAAGUGUACUACUAAAUAGGGAUCAAAUACAGAGAUCAGAUUACGCGUGGAGGGGAGUGGAGAUGACAUUCAUGAGUCAGAAAGGAGCUAUCGGCCAGGGGAAAAUCAAUCCCGGCUUUACAUCUCACCAACAGAGAAGCAAUUAUUUUAGAUGUGGGGCUGGUUAGCAUCCUAGGUCAUGAAUGUAAUUAACCCUCGAGUGACAGAAAACAACAAACCACUGUAUUUAACUGUCCGAUGCUACAAAUAAAUGAUUCAAAUUCCUCCUCUAUUCUUUCCCCUCUCCUCCAUAGAUUUACUGUAGUUUUUCUAAAGUUCACAACUUUCUUCCCUUUUCUAAUUUAAACUUUCCUUCCUGGCAGCAUCCAAUCAACUCAUUUAAAUGGAUAGCUUGAACAGAAGCAGGAUUUCUCUCCACAGUUCUCGCAGUGGAAUCCUUGGGGAAAGAGGAAAAGAUUAAGUCAUCAUUUGAGUUUCUUCAGGCUCAACCAAAGGCUAACAAUUCACAGAAAUAUCUUGGAAUCAAAGAGAAGACUCUGGUGCUCUCACUGGCUGUUGUUUGGCACCUUGGAUAGCCAGGGCAGAGACACAAAACGAGAGCAAAGACUGUAGGAAACUUCCCUAAGAGAAGAGGGGAAAGAGAGCAUUUGGUUGCUUUGAAAUGGAUAUGUGGAAACCAGCCUCACUCGGGCAGCCUUUGCAGCCUUCUGCUGAGCUCCAGGCCCCUGCCUGGCAGCCUCUCACAGGUGACGGGCAGAAAGGGGAUUGUCUUUAGAAUCUGCACUGAAGCCACCGCCGCCUCUCCACCACUGAGAUCCAACUGGUUCCCUCUAAAAUGGCUUUUUAAAAUUUGCAAAUACAGAAACAGGCUGGGGAGAACCUAAGCAAAAGUGUACAUUUACUGGAUGAGUACUUGACCAGCUCAUGGAUUCCAAGAAGUUGACCAAGCCUCUCCCCCGAAGAGCAGGCACUGGGCAGUUCCUGGAAGCUGAGCGGCUGAACUCCACUGACCCCUCCAAAGGGCUGCCUUUAAUGACUCGAGUACCAACUCCCGAGGCUCAUCUACGGCCGCCUCACUGUGGAAAUCUAAAAAUUCUUCAGAGAUUCCCAAUGGCCUGCAUGGGCACUACAGUGUGGGCCUUUCCUUUUAAACUGAUCCUCUUUAAAAAUGGUUUCAGGCACUGCUAACCUCAGCUGAGUAGAUGGGGCUGUCGGAACCAGAUUCCGAUGCCCAGUGUAAAGAGUCAAAGUAGCAGCAGUCCCAACAGGGUAAAGUUUAAAAGAACCUAUUCUCUUGGGCAAGAUGCACUUUAAAAGUGUCUCUGCCUAGGGCUGGGGUGUGGCUCUGGUGGACUCACCCAGCUUGUCCAGGGUAGGGGUGGGAGGUUGUCUUCUGGUUUCUGGUGGCCUCAUUCAUUUAGUAAUUACUUCUAAAUAACCUGCUGUGAAUAAACCUAGACCUGUGUCUCGUGUGUGAGCAGUCUUAAGGGAUUCUGAGAGUAACUUUUCAUAUGAACACUGGAUUUUAAGCCCCUUCCCCUUGGAUGAGAAACCUACAGAUUUUGCCUGAGCAACGAGAGCACAUCCUUGUUAAGGUUAAGAUUUCACUGUCUCUGUUCAGAGCCUUCAUUAGGCUACAUCAGAGGACAACUGAGAUGGCUCUGCAAUUAACUGCAGCCAAGCGUCACUUGUUUUUAUAAUGUGACUUGGGUAUAACUGAAAAAUAACUCAUGCCUCUUUUCCUUUCCCUUCUGAACUGGAUAGAUAACUGCACAUAAGUUAACUUUUUAUUUUUGGUACUGGGGAUCAAACUCGGGACCUUGCACUUUCAAGGCAGGCACCAGAACCACUGAGCUAAAUUCCCGGCCCCCACAUAAGUUAAUUUUUUAAAAAAUUCUAGCUAUUUCCUCAAACCUGAGGUAAGAGCAGUUUAGAAGACAUUUAGCAGCCAAGCUCCCCAAGGGAGGCCAGGAACUUCUAACUGACAAGGGCUGCUAAGGCCGCAGAGUCUACCCAGAAUGCAUAUGCAAAGUAUCUGGAAAUUUGGUUUGGGCUUAGAUCUGAGCAAAUCUGAUGUUCUGGUAUGUUUGGAUUCUAAUUUGAAGUAGUUGCCUUAGGUGUUCUUAAAUUUUUUAAUUCAAAUUAAAGCAUUCAUUAAGAUUUAGCAAAUUAAGACUUGGUGUGAGUUGAGAUUUAAUUUGCUUCAUAAGGAUAUAAAGAUGUGAUUCAAAAAUCACAGCAGCCAGGAGGCUGGGUGAGUUGUCCCUUUACCUUGAAGAGGAGAUAUGGAUUGAGGACUAGAGUAUUUUAUUAUAGUUCACCCCUUGUGCUGCUAAAAUGUACUUGCUGCUUAUGAUAAGUUCACACAGUGCCCCACAAUUCCAGAAUUCUUGGGUGUUUGGUUUUUUUUUUUGGUACCGGGGAUUGAACUCGGUUCCUUGUGCUUGCGCAGCAGGCGGCAAAACCACUGAGCUAAAUCCCCAGCCCAAUUCCAGAAUUUUUGAUGCACUUUGUUACUGAGGUCACUUAGAAGGUUAGUGGAAAAACUAGUUGCUGCAGAUACAAUGGCUCUGAAGCCUGAAGUAGCUAAUUCUCCAUCUCCCCUUUCCAGUACUCCAGAAUUGCUUCAACUUCAACCAGCAGCCACGCUCAUGGUCCAGGCAGAUUGCCUACCAUCCCCAAUACAGGUUCUGUUUUUGUGUUUGAUAAUAAAACUAGGCAUGGAGCAUGGAGAGCUAUCCCAGCGGAUCAUCUGUGUGGCAAAUAUGCUGCUUUCUUGCAUUCUGCCACAGAGCCCUGCCUCCUCCUCAUGACCAGGAUCAGUGACCACUACUAGUACUGAGACUGAAGUAACCUAGUGGCAGCUUUGGUGUAAAGGACAGUGGGCCCCUGUGUCUACGGAUAAAGUGUUGUCCUUCUGGGAACCAAGACCACGUGACCCUCAAUGUAAAGUUUUGGCUACAA